GUAUUUGUUCAAUUUUCGUGGUGUAGCUGCAAGUUUCCGGCUAAAACAUCUUUUUCUAUGCGAGUCGUUAGUUUUUCAUGUCGGGGAUGAAUGGAUGGAGUUCUUCUACCUAGCACUUAAGCCAUGGGUGCACUAUAUACCAGUGGCUCAGGAUCUGAAAGAAACAAGAACUCUGAUAGAGUUUGCAAAGUCAAAUGAUCAAGUUGCCAAGGAUAUUGCUAAAAGAGGGAGGGACUUCAUAUGGAAUCACCUUCAAAUGGAGGAUAUAUCUUGUUAUUGGAAAAAACUGCUGAAGGAAUAUUCCAAGCUCAUCAAGUAUAAAGUGGUAAGAAACAAAGACUUGCAUCAGGUACUACCAUAGGAAGAGUAAGACAAGAAAAAUGUAAACACUUGUCACUCAAAGGUAGAAACAUAAUUAAGCAUCACCUGAUUUGUUGAAUUGUUUGAUCUGCAGUUAGGAAACAUGCCCAUAAAGUUAAACAAGCUAUUAAAUGUAUAAACAACGGUUGUUUCAACCGUAGACUGAUAAGUGUCGAAGGUGUCUUGGCGGUAUCUGCUUGACCAUGGAUUGAAAUUGUGUCUCUAGUAAGACGUCAGUUGUGAUUUGGUGGUGUUUUUUUUUCAGGGGGGAGGUGGGUUAAUAUUUUUGUAAAUUUGCGUAGCUUGCACCAAAGGUAAGACUUUGUGCAUCAAAUUUCUUGUGCAGCUGCGCGCAAUAAACGUACGAUUGAUUUCACGAAAACUUGGUGAAGCUGCCUAAUGUUUUAAAUAAUCUAAGCAUCUUGGACGAGGAUAAUAACAGCAUUUACGACGGCUAUUGUUUCGGUUUGCGGGUAACACAAUGUGGUAAUAACUACGCUCAGUAGAUAUUUAGUUUAUGAAAAGAACUUGUCCUGCUCAUUAAUCCACUUUCGCUUAGUAGUUUUUAGUAGAUCAGAACAGUCCUGCUUUAAGUUUUACAAAACAUUGAGGUUGCAUCCGAAUUCACAGUCUUGAGCUAGGUCUAGGUCUUCGCCGUUCGAAAAUACGCGGGGACCGGCUGACAAUUGUAGCUCUGUUCUGACCAUACCCUACUUGUGGGGUGAUGUUCCUUUCAUCACACAUCACCCCACUAUUUUAACAAUAGAAAACAUCACCCCAUAAGAGAAUCUUUAGAAAAAGGGACAAUGGGAACACAAUGGCCGGAGUGCCUGGAAGCACACGGCCCGAGGCGCUCGCUGGACGUCACGUUUGGCAGCCAUGCAUUGCAUGGCCUUAUGGGAUACUUACCCAAGCACCGGCUCGGCGAGUCGGCUCGGCGAGUCUGCCAGGCUUGAGUAAGCACAAGAGUCGCGUGAGAGGUAAAUCGAACGCUGUCGCGCUUGCACGAGUAAGUGCGGGGGAAUGUUCAAACGACCCCAAUACCAGGCUGAGAGCGCAGGUAGUGGUGUGUGCGUAAUUGCUCGACACCCUGGAAACGAGGUUGGAUUAUGAGGGUUUUUGCCAAAAUCAUAACGAUUUCCCUCACCAUCAAAAAGUCAUUGCCAACGAGUGAAUAAGGAGAGGUAAAGGACCGUCCAAUAAAUUACAUCAGCUCGAAAUGCCGAUUUUUUUUCAAUCCCACUCCCCCUGGGCUGUAUGCACGGCCAUUAGUUAGUGUGAACCCCUUCUGCAUGCGGUCCCUCAAAUGUAAUAAACUCUAUAGGCAAUUGACUGGUCGGAAGCACUUAAAAAAUAUCGAAAUGCCGAGGGUUGAAGAGUACAGUUUUAAGCUUUUCGAUGCAUAAAAGGUGGUCCUUGGAGGUAUUUAAUGUGAGAAAGUGCAUUGUUUUCAUAACAAUUUAGUGAAGGAAAACCGUCACUCUGCGUAUGUUCACAUUGGCUUGGACCCUUCCUCCCCCCCCCCCCCCUAUGCAUGGUGUAUACCGUGUUUAAUCUCCCCACACCCUUUCGUGCGUACGUACUUUAUGGGCGUACUCUUUUCUUGAAGUUGUAUCGCAUUUGUACUAAAAACAAAUGCUGAUUAGCCCUUUCUUGAACUUUUGGGCAAUGCAAAUGUUGCAAAUGAUUUAAUGAUGCCGUUUUAAGUCCAUUGACGAUUCUCCCAAUCGCCCCAACAUAAAAGGCAAACAUAAGCCUGAGGGCCAUUCUUACUCACGAAUGGCGCGUUACCGAGCGGCAUUAUCCGAAUUAAACUCCACCCGUGACGUCCCCUAUUGUUUCCAGGCUCCAUUAUUUUGGACAAAUGGAACGAUUUUGUUUCAUACAAAGACUUGUCCUUUGUCCUAUUGCGUAACUGUAAACUGUAUUAGAAUCAAUGGAAUUAUACAGAAUUGUACUGCGAAUAAGAAUAUGUUCUUACGUAAUCAAUACAAUGCUGGAUUCUAGACGCGCUUGGUACAAAUGCUAAACCCCACCCAGGCACCAUGCAUUCGUUCUUGAAUAGCGUGCUUAUAACACGCAGUGUUCAGUCUCAAUACGUUGGAGGAAAUAGUGCCGUACAGUGGAAUUAUAGCGUGCCAGGAAACCGUCUUUGAUAGGUGCUGAAACUAGCUCCAUGGAUAUAUCGGAUGAUAAUUUACUGGCCGCCUUAAACAUUGCCUGGGACAUAUACAAGACCAUUUCGACACUCCGAAUGAAUAUGAAGAUUGUAAACUAUUGAAUGUAAAGACUGUGGAUAGUGUCACGAAGAGGGUCAACACUGUAGCAGUCUCCAGUCAGACUACUUCGUAUCCAACGCAACUCGAGACUAUAACUACUCAUCAUUAGACAAAGGAAGGACGAGCUAAAACCACUAAAAAUUGCAAGAUUAAGAUUUUGGUGCAUUUUUUAAGCAAAACAGCUACAAGUCUUCCAGGCCGGGUUUACAUUGCACGAACGAUUUUCCUUCAACUGUUCUUGGACACCAUGGAAAAGACCUACACAUUUUUUCAGGAUGUUGAGUUCUUGCCGAUCAAGAAUUUCUAGGGCUGUAUGCUAGGCAUUGAAACCCAGUAACAAGAUUGAGAUAUAAAUUGUACUGCGAAACUUGUCAAAACAUUUGCUUUAACUGGAAACAUUUAUAUCGUUGAAACGUUCAUGCAACAGCAUGUAACUAUAUACGAACAUUCUGUGCAAGAAAAUAUGGUUCUUGACUUCCGCCUUAACACUGUAAGAAGAUGUUUUAGGAAAAAUUCCAUUUGAGAAACGGCGUAGCAUGCUAUAUAAGAAACAUAAAUGGUUCCUAAAUCUCACGUAAUCUACGAAUGAUGCAUAAAAUUCCAUUUGAGAAACGGUGUAGGACUUACGAGAAAAUUCUGUGCGAGAAAAAAAAAUGGUUCUUGACUUGCGUAUUAAGCAUUGUUACGACAUGUAACGUACAGUGGAAUUAUCAAACGGUGUAGUAAAGUUGCAACUGUGCAAAACUAUAAUUGUCAUUUUUGGUGUUUCUUUAUUUCCCGCUCCAUUAUUUUGUAGGAAUAGAGUGAUGGAGGCCUACCUUCCAAAAUGAUUACCUGUCUGUGAGAUCGUUUGCCAGUUUUUCCGCGUUUCCGAAAUAGGUAACGAUGGAAUUCCAUUUUUACUUGGUUACUUUAUUUUUGAAUUCCGCGUUUCUGAUUAAUUAUCACAGUUUCGCGGGAUCGAAAAAGGCAAUUCAAGCUUCCGCAGUAGCGUACAACGUUUUCAGUCUAAACAAAUCUGCGCCAGAUUACAGAGCCAACUUACACUACCCUAGUUCACGACGUGCCACAUGUACAUGUCCAAAGUCCAAGUCAUACGUUGUUUUUUUUUGGGGGGGGGAAUAAACUAAGACAUACUGGGGUCAACAUAAAAUCACCUUAUGUAAAUGUCUUUAUUAUAAACGCAUGUAGCGAAAAAUGUUGCCUGUUUGGAGCAACAUUUUCACGGUGUUAUUUUUUUUACUUAAACGAAUUGUUUUUGUUUUUGUUUUUUAAAUACAUACAUUUUCAGCUACAAGGGUAUAUUUUGUUUACACCAGACGACGCACGAUCAAUUAAUGUUGGCUUGUCACUGACCGGAAAUCUCGAUCUUAUCCAAUCUCAGUGAAAUGUUUACAUGUUAUCUUUGGCUCCCAGGAGAAUAAAGUGCUAAUGAGUCUCCAUUGGAGCAUUUGCAAAAAUUUCAUUGUGUAGCGCCAUCGUAUUUCAUGCAUUGAGGCUAGCCCAUUGCUUGCCCAGCAAAUGUGAACUUAAACCGCCUCCAUGUUUAUUACCCUUUAUGUGUUUUACCAAGAUUAUGUAAUCGGACAGGAGCAAAUACAAACUCCGUGCGUUCGAUUGCUACCCCCGCGUUUCUCGUGCAAGCGCGACAGCGUUUGAUUUACCUCUCACAUGACUAUUGGCGCUUAUUCGAUCCUGGCCCAAGUAACUGACUCGCCGAACCGCAACGUCCGGCGGUCGCCUCAGGACGUGUCCAAAACGGGCUUCCACGGGGCAUAGAGCUACAAACCUUAUGUAGCGCUAUGAUAUUUUGCCCAGCAAACCACGGGGAAAACGAGUUGUUUGUUAAUCGGCCUAAUGAGUGAACGAGCGAAGAAAAAUCUCUAAAUUAUUUGAAAGAAAUAUUUUGACAUUUUUAUUUGACAUAAUGAUUUGCAAGCAUAUUUGAAUAUUUUUUUUUGGAGGGGGGAUUGUUUUGAACUUAUUCAAGUCUCCCACGUUAGGCCUAAUUUAAGUCAAGUAUACGGACAACCAGCAAAUUUGGUGCCUGUUUUGGAAUACCUUACAACUUUCCUGAGAUCAGCUUCAGCUAAAUAUUUCGACAAAAACAACAUUCUAGGAUCUCGAUUUCCAAUUAAAAGUUGCUGCCUCAUGUUUUGAAUUGGGCCUGAAUUUCAGCGUCAAAGACACUUGUUUCGC
rnacentral:misc_RNA from 1 species